GAUGAACGCUGGCGGCGUGCCUAAUACAUGCAAGUCGAGCGAACCCUUCGGGGUUAGCGGCGGACGGGUGAGUAACACGUGGGCAACCUACCUUGUAGAUGGGGAUAACAUCGAGAAAUCGGUGCUAAUACCGAAUAAUACUUUACUCCUCAUGGAAGAAAGUUAAAAGUUGGCUUUUGCUAACACUACGAGAUGGGCCCGCGGCGCAUUAGCUAGUUGGUGAGGUAACGGCUCACCAAGGCGACGAUGCGUAGCCGACCUGAGAGGGUGAUCGGCCACACUGGGACUGAGACACGGCCCAGACUCCUACGGGAGGCAGCAGUAGGGAAUCUUCCGCAAUGGACGAAAGUCUGACGGAGCAACGCCGCGUGAGUGAUGAAGGCUUUCGGGUCGUAAAACUCUGUUGUUAGGGAAGAACAAGUACCGUUCAAAUAGGGCGGUACCGUGACGGUACCUAACCAGAAAGCCACGGCUAACUACGUGCCAGCAGCCGCGGUAAUACGUAGGUGGCAAGCGUUAUCCGGAAUUAUUGGGCGUAAAGCGCUCGCAGGCGGUUUCUUAAGUCUGAUGUGAAAGCCCACGGCUCAACCGUGGAGGGUCAUUGGAAACUGGGAGACUUGAGUGCAGAAGAGGAGAGUGGAAUUCCACGUGUAGCGGUGAAAUGCGUAGAGAUGUGGAGGAACACCAGUGGCGAAGGCGACUCUCUGGUCUGUAACUGACGCUGAGGAGCGAAAGCGUGGGGAGCAAACAGGAUUAGAUACCCUGGUAGUCCACGCCGUAAACGAUGAGUGCUAAGUGUUAGAGGGUUUCCGCCCUUUAGUGCUGAAGUUAACGCAUUAAGCACUCCGCCUGGGGAGUACGGUCGCAAGACUGAAACUCAAAGGAAUUGACGGGGGCCCGCACAAGCGGUGGAGCAUGUGGUUUAAUUCGAAGCAACGCGAAGAACCUUACCAGGUCUUGACAUCCUCUGCCAAUCCUAGAGAUAGGACGUUCCCUUCGGGGACAGAGUGACAGGUGGUGCAUGGUUGUCGUCAGCUCGUGUCGUGAGAUGUUGGGUUAAGUCCCGCAACGAGCGCAACCCUUGAUCUUAGUUGCCAGCAUUAAGUUGGGCACUCUAAGGUGACUGCCGGUGACAAACCGGAGGAAGGUGGGGAUGACGUCAAAUCAUCAUGCCCCUUAUGACCUGGGCUACACACGUGCUACAAUGGAUGGUACAAAGGGUAGCGAAGCCGCAAGGUGGAGCCAAUCCCAUAAAACCAUUCUCAGUUCGGAUUGUAGGCUGCAACUCGCCUACAUGAAGCUGGAAUCGCUAGUAAUCGCGGAUCAGCAUGCCGCGGGAUACGAUCCCGGGGUGACACACCGC
rnacentral:rRNA from 1 species